rnacentral:tRNA from 1 species
GUGCGGCCGGCGGAACUGGGCCGCUUCGACGUGGUCCUGGACACCGCGGGGACCGACCUGCGGGCCUUCCGGCGCCUGUUGAAUCCGGGCGGGCGCAUG